AAUACUUUGUACCUGUCUUGCCUCAGAAGAGCUUUGAGUUUGAUUGAAUGAAUCGCCCGCCUGAACCGCCUGAACCUGGCGCACCCAAGUUUCCAUGAAGUCUUCCUGCAGAGCAUCAUUGAAAGGCAGCCUUGUUUGUUCGCAAGAUCCAGUGAUGGUUUCCAUGUUAUGCACAUAAACACCUUGUCAGGCACCAGAGACAGUUUCCAUUGAUGAUUUGACUUUCCUUCAAUGACUCACACAGCUGUUACACUGUCCUGGAACCACUUCAGGCUGAGCCAAAGGCUUGUCAAGUGCCUCAGGCCAUGUGGGGAACAGGGAAGGAUAGAACUGAAGGUGAGUGACGAAGGGGCUGUGGAGGAGCUUAUAAAUCUGCUAUUAAAAACCUGCAAAACCUUUUCUGGAAAGAAAGCACUUGAAUUUAAGGAGAGAGUAUUAUUUCUUGUAAGGUAUUUUUGUUUUAUUUUUGUCUUGUUUGCAGUAAUCGGGAGAUACUUUCAAAAAUCUCCAAAAAAUUGGCCGGCGCCGCGGCUCACUAGGCUAAUCCUCCGCCUAGCGGCGCCGGCACACCGGGUUCUAGUCCCGGUCGGGGCGCCGGAUUCUGUCCCGGUUGCCCCUCUUCCAGGCCAGCUCUCUGCUGUGGCCAGGGAGUGCAGUGGAGGAUGGCCCAGGUGCUUGGGCCCUGCACCCCAUGGGAGACCAGGAAAAGCACCUGGCUCCUGGCUCCUGCCAUCGGAUCAGCGCGGUGCGCCGGCCGCAGCGCGCUGGCCGCGGCGGCCAUUGGAGGGUGAACCAACGGCAAAAGGAAGACCUUUCUCUCUGUCUCUCUCUCUCUCACUGUCCACUCUGCCUGUCAAAAAAAAAAAAAAAAAAAAUCUCCAAAAAAUGAAAGCUCUGUAGUUUCAGGCCUAGUCGAGGUUAGGGAUGCCAAGCUGACAUUGUGCUGAUCCACGACCAAGGCUGAUGACAUAUCCUGGCAAAGGCGUGAACAGUGGAAUGAGAAAACGCUAAAUGUCUGCAAUCAUAUAGUCAAUAAAACAUAAAAUUAUGAAGAUAUUUUAAUUAUU
rnacentral:lncRNA from 1 species